rnacentral:rRNA from 1 species
AUCUACGGAUGAAAGCAGGGGACCGCAAGGCCUUGCGCGAAUGGAGCGGCCGAUGGCAGAUUAGGUAGUUGGUGAGGUAAAGGCUCACCAAGCCUUCGAUCUGUAGCUGGUCUGAGAGGACGACCAGCCACACUGGGACUGAGACACGGCCCAGACUCCUACGGGAGGCAGCAGUGGGGAAUUUUGGACAAUGGGCGCAAGCCUGAUCCAGCCAUGCCGCGUGCAGGAUGAAGGCCUUCGGGUUGUAAACUGCUUUUGUACGGAACGAAACGGCUCUUUCUAAUAAAGAGGGCUAAUGACGGUACCGUAAGAAUAAGCACCGGCUAACUACGUGCCAGCAGCCGCGGUAAUACGUAGGGUGCAAGCGUUAAUCGGAAUUACUGGGCGUAAAGCGUGCGCAGGCGGUGAUGUAAGACAGUUGUGAAAUCCCCGGGCUCAACCUGGGAACUGCAUCUGUGACUGCAUCGCU